GUGGGGGAUAUUGCACAAUGGGCGAAAGCCUGAUGCAGCAACGCCGCGUGAAGGAAGACGGUUUUCGGAUUGUAAACUUCUAUCAGCUGGGAAGAAAAUGACUGUACCAGACUAAGAAGCCCCGGCUAACUACGUGCCAGCAGCCGCGGUAAUACGUAGGGGGCAAGCGUUAUCCGGAUUUACUGGGUGUAAAGGGUACGUAGGCGGCUUAUUAAGUCAGAUGUGAAAGCCCGGAGCUCAACUCCGGGAUUGCAUUUGAAACUGGUGAGCUAGAGUACAGGAGAGGUAAGUGGAAUUCCUAGUGUAGCGGUGAAAUGCGUAGAUAUUAGGAAGAACACCAGUGGCGAAGGCGACUUACUGGACUGUAACUGACGCUGAGGUACGAAAGCGUGGGGAGCGAACAGGAUUAGAAACCCUAGUAGUCC
rnacentral:rRNA from 1 species